rnacentral:rRNA from 1 species
UACGUAGGGGACAAGCGUUGUCCGGAUUUACUGGGCGUAAAGAGCGCGCAGGCGGUCGUUCAAGUCGAGUGUGAAAGCCCCCGGCUCAACUGGGGAGGGUCACUCGAUACUGAUCGACUCGAAGGCAGGAGAGGGAAGUGGAAUUCCCGGUGUAGUGGUGAAAUGCGUAGAUAUCGGGAGGAACACCAGUGGCGAAGGCGACUUCCUGGCCUGUUCUUGACGCUGAGGCGCGAAAGCUAGGGGAGCAAACGGG